UUGUAGUUGGAAUAUUAGGGAAUCUUCAAAUUUCAUACACAUAUGCACAGGUACACACACACAUAGUGUACUUUUUAAAAUAGUAUAUUAAUUAAGAAGUUUUUAAAAAGUUUUUAAUGUGUCCCCUUCCCAUGUUGUCCCAGGCUCAUUAGCAAUGGUCAUUAAAAAUGAUCAAAGAGGUUGAGUGACAGCUUCCCAGGUCACCCCACAUGGGGCAAUGCUUGACAGCCUUGCGACAGCUUGCUAAGACCCACAGCCAUGUAUGUAACUCUGAAUAGUAAAUUUGGAAGCGGCUCAAUAGGAUCUAUGCACUUAAUGUCAAGACCUUAAUUUGUAAGAACUCACUCGGAGCAGGCUUGGGGGAUACGUAGAGGAAAAUAUGUCCACUGGGCUGGUGACCCCAACUCUGUUCUUAGCCGAGCAUACCAUGGCUUCCAGAGAAACCUCUGCUCAUAUCACUGCAUGGUCUCUGUGUAUGUAAGUGCAUGUGUAUGUGUCUGCAUAUGUGUGCAUGUAUGUGUAGAUUGUGUGCAUCAGAGAGCACGUGAGUUUGCUUUCACUCGGGAUGACUUGUUUCUUUUUCUUUAGGAACUGUUAAGAAACCAAGUAAAAGUCUCCUGUAAGCUUUUGGACUCCUGGAAAAACCCUUUGCUGAGGAUUGCUGAAUCCGAGAAAGGUUUGAGUGAGCUGGAAACCACAUUUUCAGAAUUCUUUAUUUCCUAGGGUGUGUUCAGGUGCUCAUGGUUCCCCAAGAGGCCUUGAUCUAGCAGGACACCACCCCUGGGUAAUUAGCCAAAUAAAACAGCCCAGACUGGGUUUGCGUUGUCUGGCAGCUCAAUGAAACCCACAGAUGGCACAGAAAAAGCUGUGUCACCCAGGAAUGAAUUCUCCUCAUCUCUAAUUACAAAGAAAGAAAAGUCACUGGAAAAAAUAAUGAACAGCUUGAAAUGUCACACAGAGCCCCAAACCACUACCUCACUUUGAAGGCAUUUCCAAGUGUAACCCAGUCUGAGAGACUGCGCCCUGCUCCAUAUGCGUGAGUACCCUACUGAGCUGGUCGGAGCUUGACCUGCACAGGUGAGACGAUCUGGAAAACGAGGCAGAGACUCUAAGGCUGUUGGUUUGGACAGUGCAGAAAAAUUCUCAGUGUUUCUAGCUCUGGGUCCAUUAUUCAUGGGAACUAAGGAAGUCGCCCAGCCGCCCUUCUGGAGCUCAAGUUCCAGUGGCUUUUCUGCUGCCUGCAGAGACAGGGGAGUGAGGAGGCUUUUCCUCCUCUGUUUGGCUGAUUCUGGCUUCUGGGAAGCACAAAACGACCCGAGAUAACAGGGCAAUUAUGGCCUCAAACUCCCCAGGCAUUAGCUCUCUAUGGUCCUAGGCACAUAGGAUCCCAGCUCCACAGAAUCCGGUCUGCUGUUAUCUCUACAUUAAUGAGGUUACAUAGCCCUUAGGAGGCACAGGCAGCUGAAAAAGUACUUCCAUGUCUGCUGUAUGUAUGACGGGAGGACCUUUGAAUAAAUAAGAGCCAACUGUCCCCAGCAUGCAUCCUUAGGUAGUAGAUGAUCAUGUAUCAGGUUUUAAGCCAGGCCAGGCUUACUGCCCAGACAGCCUUAGGAGCCUUCGUGGCUCUGCUUCUCCAGCGCUGGGAUUACAGACCCACACCAUCUCAGCUGGCUAAACAAACAAACAAACAAACAAACAAAUAAACAUAGAUUCUGGGAACUAAACUCAGGUCUGUAUGUUUAUGAGGCAAAAACUUUCCCAGUGGAGUGACAUUCUAAGCCCUGGUAGGUGCUCACCAGGACCUCUAUGUACUGUAAUGUAUACAUUCUAUGACAUUACAUCCAUCCUUUCCCACACACUGCUCCUUCUGCAGUGUGACUUGUUUAUCACCCUGUCCACCUGCUGGCAUCUCCUGGGGUUAUUUAUGUGCAAGGACAAUUUGUUUCUCAUGGUUCUGGAGCUUGGGAAGUCCAGAUAAAGAUUCGGCAGAUUUGAUGUCCUUGGGUUGUAGAGAUGGCUGCCAUCUUCUCACCUGGUUCCCUCUUGAGUCUCUCUUGCAAGGGUGUCAUGUUUGGGGAAUGACUAGUCACCUGUGUUAGUCUGUCACUAUUAUCACCACCUGUGGGAAUCAACUUAGAGGUGGGGGAAUGUUGACCCUGCCCUGAGGUUUAGGGGCUCCAGACUGUGGUAUGCACUGUUGCAAACACACCAUGGCUGGAGUAUACAGUGGGGUGAAACUGCUCACCUCAUGGCCAAAGGACAGAAAAUAAAAGGGGUGCUAUCUGCAGCUAAAUGCCCCCUUGUAAGAGCCCCCCACCCCAAGGACCUAAAACCGUCUUUUAGACCCCACCUCUUUAGAGUUCCACCAGCAGCAGCACCCUGGAAACCUUUAGGGGUUGUUAGGCCCAGACAUUCAGAGUCAUCUCCCAAAUGCCCCAUCUGCUAACUCAGUCACCUGGGACUGGGAUUUGUAGGAGUCAAACCUGUGCUCUCUGUGGACAAUGUCUUGCCCACAUCUGGCAUCCUGUUCCCAGCAACCUCAGCCCUGUGCUGCCUCCACAGGCUGGGGAUGAGCAACAAUUGCAGGAUGAAUUACACCCACCAGCUUCCAGGAAGCCAGCAAGG
rnacentral:lncRNA from 1 species